rnacentral:lncRNA from 1 species
GUCAUAUGUAAAAAUCUGUGAAAAUUUGGGAGGGUUUCAAUUUUGGCAUUUUUUUCUAUUUCUAAACUCUACCUAAAUACAAAUGAUACUGUUUUGUCUUUAGUAAUGUUUGUUAUUAUACAUAAACCUUAAUCAUUGAGAUUUUUUUUAUCAAAAAAAUUCCUAAAACGACGUUUUAUAAAUAAAACUUCAAAAAUCAAG